rnacentral:lncRNA from 1 species
AAAGAAAGUGUGAGAGAGAGAGAGAGAGAAAAUUUGGUGAGCGAGUGAGAGAGAGAAGAACAUUCGUACGCAGUGGGAAAUAUCCAAAGAUUGAGAGAUCAACGGAGUGAGAGAUAGAUGAAGGAAGAUAGUGAUUUUGGAAAAGCAUGAGUGUUUGUUCGAUUACAGUGGAAUGUAUACAAAACACGACGGACCGGUAAACUGUACAGAUGCUGAAGACAAAGUCAAACUUAUUGCGAUCUCCAUAUCAGCUUUUCACGAACUAUAAUAUUUCUUACGACGUUUGACAUUACCGUUUCUAUUACUCUGAUCUUACAUUCCUUCCAGAAACAGAACAGAAUAUGAUAUCGUUUCUCGUAUUAUGUUCUAUGUGUGCAUAUAUGAUUACAUCCAUAUAUGUAAGUAUGGUUUUAUGUAUGCGUAUCAGUAUGAUCGUAUGUAAAUUUUUUCAUAUAUAUACAUACAAAUAUACAUAUAUAUAUAUAUAUAUAUAUAUGUAUAUAUAUACAUACACACACACAUAUAUAUUUAUAGACAUAUAUAUAUAUAUAUAUAUAUCUAUAUAUAUAUAUAUAUGUAUAUAUAUAUUUCUGUAUAUGUGUGUGCUAUAUUUGUCUAUUCAUAAACAAAUAUAUUUGUAAUAUUUUUUCCUCUCACCAUGUAUAUAUUUAUAUAGCGAGAGAGAAAUAUGGAGACAGGUACACACACACACACACACACACACACACAUCCGCAUCUGUAAAUGUAUGCAUAUAUACAUGCACACAUACAUAUAUAUAUAUAUAUAUAUACACAUACAUAUGUAUAUAUAUAGUAUAUACAUAUACAUAUAUGUAUGUAUAUAUAAACAAAUAGAUAUAAACAUAUAUACAUAUUUAUAUAUACAUAUACAAAUAAAUAUAUUCAUAUUUAAAUAUAUAUGUGUCUUUGUGUCUGUGUGCUUGUGUUUAUAUAUGUUUGUGUGUGUGUGUUUAUAUAUAUAUAUUUUUUUUUUAUAUAUAUAUAUAUAUAUAUGCAUUCUAAAUCGUAUGUACAUACAACUUUCUUCUUUCAUCCAUCUAUCCAUUCACUCUCUGUCCCCCUGUUUAAAUGUGUAUCACUACUUUAUUUAUAAAUCUAUCUAUCUGCUUUACAGAAUAUAUCUGUCUACUGUUGAAUAUAUCUUGAUAACUAACGAUCUAUUUUACAACCUGCCAUUCUAUAUAUCUAUCAAUAUUGCCAGAUAGGUAAAUAGUGAAUCACCUAGCUUACAAUCUGACAGUGUAUUAGAUUUUCUAUUACAAAUUUUGCAUGUGUCUCCACUCAUUUCAGUAUAUACACAUCGUUAUAUACCUGUUUAUCAAUCACGAUAACGUUUCAUUGCUUGUUUGUAUUUUUUUUUUACUUUUUCACUUGUGUGAUUGGGUGUGUGUAAGAGUGUGCAUAUAAAUACAUAUGAAUACAUAUAAAUAUAUAUGUUCAUUUUUUAUAAGUCAAUAAUAUUAAUAGUACCAGUAACAAUAGCACUAAUAAUUAUAUAUGGUAUAUUUGUUACCGUAUCAUAUAUCUGUAUAUAUAUAUAUAUAUAUAUAUAUAUAUAUAUAUAUAUAUAUAUAUAUAUAUAGAUAGAUAGAUAGAUAGAUAGAUAGAUAGAUAGAUAGAUAGAUAGAUAGAUAGAUAGAUACAUAGAUAUAUACGCACACUCAGAGGCAAACACGUACAGAUGCACAUACGCAAACACGCACUCAAACACGAACACACGCUCACAUGCAUAUGUGCAUGUAUGUAUAUGUAUACAUACAUACAUAUAUAUACAUAUAUAUAUAUAUAUAUAUACAUAUAUAUAUGCAUAUAUAUAAAGAUACAUAUAUAUAAUUGCAUAUCUAUCUAACUGUUUAUCUAUCUAUCUAUCUUUUUGUAUACAUACUUACAUAUAUAAAUAUGUGUAUGUGUGAGUGUGUGUAUAUAUAUAUACACAUAUAUAAAUGCACAGAGACACAUAUAUAAAUGCACACGCGCACACACAUACACAGCUAUUGUAGAAGAGACAACCAAUCAUAAACGUCAAAUGCGAUAUUUUUUUUUUCCGAAUGGGAUUGUGGUGUUUAUUGUUCAGUCCAAAAUCAAAUUGAAUAUCGCAUGUUUCUACAAUUUUUGUCAUCCGUAACCAUAAUACGUGAUCGAACAACUAGACAGGGACGAGCACAAACGCACGCAAUCACACACACACACACACACACACACACACACACACACACACACACACACACACACACACACACAAACUUACACACACACACACACACACACACGAACUCACACACACACAUAUAUAUAUAUAUUAUAUAGAUAUGUGUAUAUAUGUACAUAUAUACAGAGAUACAUAUAUACAUACAUAUAUACACUGAAACACAAGCACGCAUAUAUAUAUAUAUGUAUACAUAGAUAAAGCAAAAGCGCAUUCCUGUACGGUAACAAGCUUGCUUCCCAGCCACAUACUUCUGGCUUUAGUUCCAGUGCCGGGCACGUUUGGGAAGAGUACUAUUCCACGGGCCCCUAAGAGCCUGUCGAGUGGUUUUGGUUGACAGAAACUGAAAGAAUCCAGUCGUCGUAUAUUUAUAUAUAUAUAUGUGUGUGUGUGUGUGUGUGUGUGUGUGUGUGUGUGUAUAUGUGUGUGUGUGUAUGUGUAUGUGUGUGUAUUUGUGUGUGUGUGUGUGUGUGUGUGUGUGUGUUUGUGUGUGUGUGUGUGUGUCUGCAUAUAUGUAUGUAUUUAGAUGUGCAUAUACGUAUAUAUAUGUAUACACACACACAAACACACACACUUACGUAUUUAAUUUUGAAAUUUUUAAUUUGUUUUUUGGUCGCGUUUGUCCCCAUCACUAACUGCUUGACAACCGGUGUUGGUGUGCUUACAUCACCGUAUCUCACGGUUCGGCAACAACUGCGGUAGAACAACGACCAGGCUUACAGAUAUAAGUAUUUCUCGUCCGACAAAAAAACCCUCACAGCGGUGCACCAGCAGGGCCACUGUCGAAUGACUGAAACACGUAACAGAUAUAGCAUAAAGAAAAUAUGAAAAUAUAUGUAUCACACUCUGUAUAUAUAUAUAUGUGUGUGUGUGUGUGUGUGUGUGUGUGUGUGUGUAUGUGUGUGUUUGUGUGUGUGUGUGUGUGACUGUCUGUCUGUGUGUGUGUGUGUGAAUAUAUAUGUGCGUGUGUGUGUAAACCUACACAUAUCUACAUAUUUAUAUAUUGUGUAUGUAUAUGCAUAUACGUAUAUGUAUUUAUAUAGUUAGCAACAUCACAUUAUGGUAUAUAUUCGAACAAAUCCACCCCGUUACGGUAUUUUCUAUAUUUGGCACGUACUCUAUCGGUUCUGUUUUACUGAACCGCUAUGUUAUGGAGUCGUGCACAUGCCAAGGCCAUUCUUUAAGCGUUGGUGGGUGACAAACACGUAAAAGAAAAAAAAAACACAUGCACGGACACACUCACAGCACACACGCACGGACACAUAUACAUGGGAGAUGUAUAUAUGUAGGUAUGAAGAUAUAUACAUAUACAUACACGACAGGACACAUUCAGUUUCCGUGUAAUUAAUCCACUCGCAAAUCUUUUGUUUUCCAGACACUAGAUCAGAGUUCACUUCCCCAGAGUGACACGCAGUGGGACUGAACACGAAACUAUUUUCUUGGGAAGCAAUCACCGUACCACACAUCCACACCCGUUCCUACAACUCUUACUAAAAGUUUUCCCUACGAGGAUUUGUCGUCGUUUUCAGUUCCUCGCCAUCCAUUCAUUCAUGUUUACAUACAAAUACAAACACACACUGAUGUAAAUGUUUAGGCGUAAGAUUGGUUAUGUGGCAAGAAGCCUGCUUAUCAACCACAUGGUUCUGAGUUCAAUCCCGCUGAGUGGUACUUUGGGGAAGAGUCUUCCAAAGCCUCGGGUUGACCAAAGCGUUGUGAGGGGAUAUGUGAGACGGAAACUGAAAGAAUACCGUCGUAUAUAUAUAUAUAUAUAUAUAUAUAUAUAUAUAUAUAUAUAUAUAUAUAUAUAUAUAUAUAUAUAUAUAUAUAUAUAUAUAUAUAUAUAUAUAUAUAUAUAUAUAUAUAUAUAUAUAUAUAUAUACAUACAUAUAUAUAUAUAUAUAUAUAUACAUAUAUAUAUAUGUAUAUAUAUAUUUAUAUAUAUUCAUAUAUAUCUUUGUGUGAUUGUAUUUGUCCUCCCAGCAUCACUUGACAACCGAUGUUGGUGUGAAACCGAUUCAAUUGUCGGUUUGGCAAAAGAAACUGAUCGAACAUGUACAAGGCUUACAAAACAGUAAGUCCUGGGGUCGAUUUGUCCGACUAAAUGCAGUGCUCCAUUCAUGGCCGCAGUAAAAUGACUGAAAUCAAUAAAAGAAUACACACACACACACACACACACACACAUAUAUAUAUAUUACUUUUUAUCUUAAAUUUUUUUAUUGUUUCAGCUUUAAAGCGUCGGUCAUGCUGAGACACCACAGUUUUAUACAUGUGUGUGUGUGUGCUCUCUUACUUGUUUCAGUCAUUUGACUGCAGUUGUGCUGGGGCGCAAGCUUAAAGGGAUUUUAGUCGACGAAGUCGCCCCCAGGACUUAUUCUUUUUAAUCCUAGAACUUAUUCUAUCGAACCUUUUUGCCGAACCGCAGGGUUAUGUGGAUGUAAACAUACUAAUAGCAGUUGCCAAGUGAUGGUGGUGGUGGUGGUGGUGGUGGUGGUAGCGUUGGUGAUGGUGGGGAAAAUCUCAGACACAAAGACACAUGCACAUAGAUAUAUACAAUAUCUGUACAUCUACUAUAUCUCUCUUUUAUCUUGUCUCUUUCCAAAGAAAAUAUUUCUCCAGCGUUCGAUAUUUUACCUGCUUUCUGCUCUAAAGACCGUCCAAACUGGUUUUCCUUCGGUUUCCUUGUAUGUCGCCACUGUCCUCUUUCUGUUCCCAACUCGCACCCUCCAUAAAUCCUGAAUUUUAUUUUGGUGUUUAUGGGAGCAACUGUUUUCGA